CAAAUAGACACAGUUACAGUUGAUCUGGGUACACUGCCAGCUAAACAGUCUCUUUGUUUUUUGUUUCAAAAAGAAAAUAUGUAACACAGCAUAGUAUAGCGAAACACUUACGAAGAAAAGUCUCUAUAUGUACAAAUAUUGAUAACGUUACAGAUUAAAAAUAUAGAACAGAAAUAAAACAACGAAGGAACUUGUAUUAAACACUGUGCUAUUACACUUUAUGUAUCAAUACUAAUAUUUAUUAGAGACCGAAGGUAGCUGUAGACAGUAUAAAGAAAUAUGGAUAAAGUAACGCCACUUAUUGAAUGCCUACUUCUUGUUCUUCUAUUUAACCUAGGUAAUGGAUUUAAUUGUUAUGAGUGUAAUAAUGGAAAUUCCAUAAAACCAAACUUCAACUGUCCAGCUGAAGGAGAUGUUAUUUCGAGUGAAAAGGUACAGUGCAAUGGAAAGUGUUAUAUUAGAACGAGACAUGGCGAUGGUGGGGCUGUUGUUGAGAGAGGGUGUAUGCAAACAUCGUGGAUGAACACCUAUAUUGUAGAUGGAUGUGAUGUUAUCGAAAACGAUAUUUGGUGUUUUUGUAGCGAAGACGAGUGCAACGGCAAGAGACUUGGUGAUUGGUUCCCUAUUUCAUAACUGUUUUGAUCACACAGAACAAAGUUAAAUCUAUUAAAAAGGAUGGAUAUCUCUUCAAAACCUAAAAGUUUUUAAAUAAAAUGUUGUACUGAUACGUUCCACAGUAGUUCUCAAAUUGAACGAGUGUUGUGCAUUGAAUGCUUUCUUCUAUAAUUAUAACUGGACACAUUAUCUCAAAUUCAAUGGGUAUUCUGUAUAGAAUUCUUUCUACUGUAAUUGUAAAGGUAUUUUAUCUCUUCAAGGGUGCGACUGUAAUCGUUUAUCCAACACAAAUUUACUGUAGUUUUGAUUAAAUGUAUCUGAGAUCAU